rnacentral:miRNA from 1 species
UGACCUGCGCCAUUCUGAGUAU